ACACUUUGCCACAGAAAAAAAAAACCAAUUAGAUUGUCUUUGUUGUUCCUAAAAUUGGCUUCAAGAUAAUCUCCAGCCAACUGAAACAAAUCCAGAGGAAACCAAGUUUGUUCUUCAGCGUGGUUUCAUUAAGACUGGUGGCAGAGGACAUGUACCAUUGGGAGGCGAUUCUAAUGGGCCUCCAGGUUCAUCCUAUGAAAAAUGUGUUUUCAAACUCGUCAUUCAUUUUCCUUCAGAUUACCCAUUCAAACCACCGAAGGUAUCCGGAUUUGAGGAUGAAUAUCCCUGAUGUACAAUUGAUCAUGAUAACCUAAAAGUAACAGAAGAGGAGGUUCACAGCUUGCUUUAUCAAAAGAGAGGACAAGCCUCUUUAACCAUCGAUCUCAAGAAGCUGCAAUCUAGAUUUGAAAAGGUGCCAGAUGAUGCGAUUGAUUUGAUGCCUUAUCUAAAGACAUAUCUUUUCUUUUUGGUGGGGAGUUUGUUUUUUGCAAAAACAACAGAAGAUAUAUCUCCUAUAUAUCUACCAUUACUUGGAGAAUCAGUCAACGACUAUGCUUGGAGAGCAGCGACGUUUGCAUUCAUUUAGCAUGACUUGGUAUCAAUGAGGGAAGAUCUUACGAAGGGUAGGACCACAAGCUUCCCUGGUUUUGGGUAUGCUUUGAUGAUAUUUGCAGUGGAACGAUUUCUCUGCUUACGCGAAGCAUUAUGUAUUGAUUCUCUAUCUUCUGGGUUUCCUCUGCUUUCAGGGUGGUUAAAUCUAUUUCCUAAAGGAAAUGAUAAGAACAGCUUUGUGAAUCAUUUCCAAAAUAAGCUUGACAACAUGAUGGAAAAUCAGGUAAUACUUCUUUAUGAAUACAUAAACUGCUUAUAUAUGGUUAUAAUUCUCGUUGUAAACUCAAUACUUGAUUAUAUAUUCACAGAUUACAUGGCAACCUUAUAAACUUGUUGGCUGUAACCUUGAAUUGCAUGAUAAGUACAAAGAUCAUAUUUCUAUGAUAUACUCGUGCACAGCUUGUAUUUGCUUUUAAUGUGGUCGCAUAUAAUUUCCCUCAUACGUUCUUUUAAGCAACUGGG